rnacentral:rRNA from 1 species
UACGGGGGGUGCAAGCGUUACUCGGAAUCAUUGGGCGUAAAGGGCGCGCAGGCGGCCAAGUAAGUCAGAUGUGAAAGCCCGGGGCUCAACCCCGGAAGUGCAUUUGAUACUGCUUGGCUUGAGUAUGGGAGAGGGAAGUGGAAUUCCUGGUGUAGAGGUGAAAUUCGUAGAUAUCAGGAGGAACACCGGUGGCGAAGGCGACUUCCUGGACCAAUACUGACGCUGAGGCGCGAAGGAGUGGGGAGCAAACAGG